rnacentral:lncRNA from 1 species
GCUGACGCCAUUGUAGACCUCAGCCCGUCUGUACCCAGGCGCUCAUUAGAACAGCGUGUUGCUCCACACCGCCUUGUGGUGUUUGUUACCGCGCUCUUGGGGUUCGAACCGAUACAGCAGGCUUGCAGCUAUUUCAUUGGUUUAAACUUUUAUUUUUUUAUUGCAAAUGAAAAUUACUAUCAACUAUCAUUACAAAGCUGUAGAAUAUGAAGUUCGAAGGAAAACGCUGAAUCAGUAUACAAAAGCGUCUCAAUCAGACUCAUCCAUUUUGAAGCAAUUCCUCUGCCAUUUUGCCACCUCCUCUCAAAUUCAGCGACUUACCAGAAAGCCUGUGUGGAUGAAUAUUGCUUCCAGGAGUCACAUAAUUACAUCUAAAAUCAUAGAAUGUUAGAGCUGGAGGAAUCUUUAGAGUUUGCCCAAGGUCCUUCACCAGCAUUUUACAGAAGAUUCUUCGAUUUAACUGCUCUUAAUUACAUCCCGUUGCACUGGCCCCAUCAAGUUGCUUUAAACAGCCCUUCUAGUCAACAGAGCUGCAGAGAAAAACCUUGGUUGGUUCAGGUCACUAGGAUGCAGAGCUGUCACACUUCAUUUGUGAGAACACUCCAGAGCUUCCUCCAGCUGCUGAUUCCAAACCAGCUUCACAGUGCCUGGAUACAUGUUAUCUUCUGAGAAAGGCCAUCUCUAACCACUCUGUUCUUCCAGUACAAGCAAGCCGCUCCUGGGUCUUAUCUCUAUUUUAUCCACAGAACUCAUUUAUUUCCUUGCUUUUUAUACCUUUAUGCCUGAAUGGAUGUUCCUUGGAAGCAAAUUUUCCUUCUUUACUAUUUCAUUCCUAGUGUCUAUAACAUAAAAUAAGUGUUCCACAAAUUCUCGUAUGAUGAAAGAAUAAUAGAAUAUUAAUAUAAUAGAUAAAUUAAUAAAAUACGUUCACCUAUGUGCACUUUUACCUUAAAUAGUAAUAAUAAGCAGUUUUAACGUGUCUGAUGCUUUUCUAAUGCCAGUGCACAAUGCCUUCCUGUUUAUUUUGGGCCUCUUAGGCAGCCAGCUAACUAGGGAGCUCAUACCACUAAAUGAUUAUUGUGAGAACGGAGCAGGAAAGACAGGCAGUAGAUCCAGGAUUCAUCCAUUUGUAUUAUGUUAAAUACAAUGGUAAUCACACUAUUUUACCCAUUCUUCUCCUAGCUCCUUCUGAAUCCAAGGCAAAUAAACAAACUAUGCAAAGAAAUCAAACAUGACUUCUUCUUGGUCCUAUAAGAAGAUUGUUCAUGCUAUGCUUGUUAGAAGAGUUACAUGUAUACCUAUGAUCUUCGAAGACUAAAGAAAAUAUCAAGGAAACGUAUUUCAAUAAUGAUAUGGUCAAGACAUAGAGUUUCUUAUAUUAAUAAUACAAAGUUCACUUUCUGAAAAAAUGCACAUAUUGUUUAAGAUCGUCACAUAGUUUAUAUAUUUUAAUCGCUCCAUAAUUACGGAAUUAUUUUAAAUAAUAGCAAUAAUUAUAAUUGUAGUAUUUAAUGUCAAUAUUUCUACAAAUUAUAUUUAAGUAAAUAAGUAUAUUGUGAAAGGAGAGGGAUUCAGGAUCAGGGGUAUGUUCAAAAAUCUAUUUGUUUUUGUCAUUGUUGAAUAAAAAUCUCCCAUCUCAAAAUCUUUGUAAAAGGAUAUCCAUGGAAAAAAGAACCUAUUACUUUAUUCUCCAGUCAAAAUUAAAACUGGUUCACAAUGGCCACAUCUUCUAUUUAUACAUAAAACACAGCUUUUAACAUAGACUAAUUUUUGUCUGUUAAAAAUGAAAUUGAGAUUCAGUAAAGAUGGAUUCAAAUUCAAUACGUUAAAUCUAUUGUUUUAAAUAUACCAGGUCAUGUGUGCUCUCUCUUUUCCCUCCAACCCAUUUCACUCCCCUUCUUUCUCCUUUUGAACUGCUGACCCGAGUUAGUAGCCAAACAUAAUAAUACAGUGUUUGAUUCUCUGGAAACCCAUAAAAUUACAAACCAGCAACCACUAGGAUGUUGGCAGAAUUUCUGUGGACAGCAACCAGCAUGGUACUUUUUUUCUUUUUGAAAUGAAGCAGUACAUUGCAAUUGUUGAUACAGUACCAAGGAAGGGAAUAACGUCCACCAUAUGUCGCCCCCACCACCUAACUCUUUUGACUACUUGAGGUUGGGAGAGAGAAUUCAUCUAUUUAAAACAUGAAUGCCUUCUCUUUUAGCCUUUACUAUUUAAAGAUGCCUUUUUUCAUUUUUUUUAUUUUUAUUAAGCAGCAGUGGAGUUUUAUACUACUAUACUAAGUGCGACAGAAGAUAAACAUAUAAAUAAAACAUACCACUACAUGCCUUCAAGAAAAACAAAAUCUAAUAAAAUCUAAAAUCUAAUGGGAACUUCAAGUUUUACUGGAAAUUAGAGACUCUUUCUUCUCACUGCAACAGGAAUAUUUGAUUAGUCGUACAGCUGCAC